UCAAGUCCUCAUGGCCCUUACGGGUUGGGCUACACACGUGCUACAAUGGCCGGUACAGAGGGAAGCCACCCCGCAAGGGGGCGCGGAUCUACAAAACCGGUCACAGUUCGGAUCGGGGUCUGCAACUCGACCCCGUGAAGCUGGAAUCGCUAGUAAUCGGAUAUCAGCCAUGAUCCGGUGAAUACGUUCCCGGGCCUUGUACACACCGCCCGUCACACCAUGGGAGUUGGUUUCACCCGAAGAUCGUGCGCUAACCUUUUAGGAGGCAGCGAGCCACGGUGGGAUCAGCGACUGGGGUGAAGUCGAAACAAGGU
rnacentral:rRNA from 14 species